rnacentral:lncRNA from 1 species
GAGAGGAUAGAUCCAUUGAUGUCCACAGCCUCUACUCGUUUUUGCUCUAUCUGGUGCGACUGUUCUGAUGACGGAACAGGCAACUGAUUGUUCUGCUUUCCACUUUCCUCUACACACUCUUCAAUACUUGGUACCAACUUCUUGCUCGACCUUUCCAGUGGCUCCAUGUUUCUUUUUUUUCUUCCCCUUCUCCAUCACAUUAAUCUCGUUUUUUUUUUUUUUUUUUUUUUUUUUUUUUUUUUUUUUUUUUUUUUUUUUUUUUUUUUUUUUUUUUUUUUUUUUUUUUUUUUUUUUUUUUUUUUUUUUUUUUUUUUUUUUUUUUUUUUUUUUUU